UGCAAGUCGAGGGGUAACAGAAAAGCUUGCUUUUGCUGACGACCGGCGCACGGGUGCGUAACGCGUAUGCAACCUACCUCAUACUGGAGGAUAGCCCCUGGAAACGGGGAUUAAUACUCCAUAGUAUCACAAUUUCGCAUGUUAUUGUGAUUAAAGUUUUUCGGUAUGAGAUGGGCAUGCGUCCCAUUAGCUUGUUGGUGAGGUAACGGCUCACCAAGGCAACGAUGGGUAGGGGGCCUGAGAGGGUGGUCCCCCACACUGGUACUGAGACACGGACCAGACUCCUACGGGAGGCAGCAGUGAGGAAUAUUGGUCAAUGGAGGAAACUCUGAACCAGCCAUGCCGCGUGAAGGAUGACGGCCCUAUGGGUUGUAAACUUCUUUUAUAGAGGAAGAAACUUGUCUACGUGUAGACAACUGACGGUACUCUACGAAUAAGGAUUGGCUAACUCCAUGCCAGCAGCCGCGGUAAUACGGAGGAUCCAAGCGUUAUCCGGAUUCAUCGGGUUUAAAGGGUCCGUAGGCGGAUUUUUAAGUCAGUGGUGAAAGCCGACAGCUCAACUGUCGAACUGCCAUUGAUACUGGAAAUCUUGAGUACAAAUGAAGUAGGCCGGAAUGAGUCAUGUAGCGGUGAAAUGCAUAGAUAUGACUCAGAACACCGAUUGCGAAGGCAGCUUACUAACAUGUAACUGACGCUGAGGGACGAAAGCGUGGGGAGCGAACAGGAUUAGAUACCCUGGUAGUCCACGCCGUAAACGAUCAUCACUCGCUGUUGGCGAUAUACUGUCAGCGGCCAAGCGAAAGUAUUAAGUGAUGCACCUGGGGAGUAC
rnacentral:rRNA from 1 species